rnacentral:sRNA from 1 species
CUUGGUCAUUUAGAGGAAGUAAAAGUCGUAACAAGGUUUCCGUAGGUGAACCUGCGGAAGGAUCAUUACCUAGAGUUUGUAGACUUCGGUCUGCUACCUCUUACCCAUGUCUUUUGAGUACCUUCGUUUCCUCGGCGGGUCCGCCCGCCGAUUGGACAACAUUCAAACCCUUUGCAGUUGCAAUCAGCGUCUGAAAAAACAUAAUAGUUACAACUUUCAACAACGGAUCUCUUGGUUCUGGCAUCGAUGAAGAACGCAGCGAAAUGCGAUAAGUAGUGUGAAUUGCAGAAUUCAGUGAAUCAUCGAAUCUUUGAACGCACAUUGCGCCCCUUGGUAUUCCAUGGGGCAUGCCUGUUCGAGCGUCAUUUGUACCUUCAAGCUCUGCUUGGUGUUGGGUGUUUGUCUCGCCUCUGCGUGUAGACUCGCCUUAAAACAAUUGGCAGCCGGCGUAUUGAUUUCGGAGCGCAGUACAUCUCGCGCUUUGCACUCAUAACGACGACGUCCAAAAGUACAUUUUUACAUGAUUGACCUCGGAUCAGGUAGGGAUACCCGCUGAACUUAAGCAUAUCAAUAAGCGGAGGAAAAGAAACCAACAGGGAUUGCCCUAGUAACGGCGAGUGAAGCGGCAACAGCUCAAAUUUGAAAUCUGGCGUCUUUGGCGUCCGAGUUGUAAUUUGCAGAGGGCGCUUUGGCAUUGGCAGCGGUCCAAGUUCCUUGGAACAGGACGUCACAGAGGGUGAGAAUCCCGUACGUGGUCGCUAGCCUUUACCGUGUAAAGCCCCUUCGACGAGUCGAGUUGUUUGGGAAU